CGUACGCUUCUUUUUCCACCGGAGCUUGCUCCACCGGAAAAAGAGGAGUGGCGAACGGGUGAGUAACACGUGGGUAACCUGCCCAUCAGAAGGGGAUAACACUUGGAAACAGGUGCUAAUACCGUAUAACAAUCGAAACCGCAUGGUUUUGAUUUGAAAGGCGCUUUCGGGUGUCGCUGAUGGAUGGACCCGCGGUGCAUUAGCUAGUUGGUGAGGUAACGGCUCACCAAGGCCACGAUGCAUAGCCGACCUGAGAGGGUGAUCGGCCACAUUGGGACUGAGACACGGCCCAAACUCCUACGGGAGGCAGCAGUAGGGAAUCUUCGGCAAUGGACGAAAGUCUGACCGAGCAACGCCGCGUGAGUGAAGAAGGUUUUCGGAUCGUAAAACUCUGUUGUUAGAGAAGAACAAGGAUGAGAGUAACUGUUCAUCCCUUGACGGUAUCUAACCAGAAAGCCACGGCUAACUACGUGCCAGCAGCCGCGGUAAUACGUAGGUGGCAAGCGUUGUCCGGAUUUAUUGGGCGUAAAGCGAGCGCAGGCGGUUUCUUAAGUCUGAUGUGAAAGCCCCCGGCUCAACCGGGGAGGGUCAUUGGAAACUGGGAGACUUGAGUGCAGAAGAGGAGAGUGGAAUUCCAUGUGUAGCGGUGAAAUGCGUAGAUAUAUGGAGGAACACCAGUGGCGAAGGCGGCUCUCUGGUCUGUAACUGACGCUGAGCUCGAAAGCGUGGGGAGCAA
rnacentral:rRNA from 1 species